GCUCAGGAUGAACGCUGGCGGCGUGCUUAACACAUGCAAGUCGAACGAAACACCUUAUUUGAUUUUCUUCGGAACUGAAGAUUUGGUGAUUGAGUGGCGGACGGGUGAGUAACGCGUGGGUAACCUGCCCUGUACAGGGGGAUAACAGUCAGAAAUGACUGCUAAUACCGCAUAAGACCACAGCACCGCAUGGUGCAGGGGUAAAAACUCCGGUGGUACAGGAUGGACCCGCGUCUGAUUAGCUGGUUGGUGAGGUAACGGCUCACCAAGGCGACGAUCAGUAGCCGGCUUGAGAGAGUGAACGGCCACAUUGGGACUGAGACACGGCCCAAACUCCUACGGGAGGCAGCAGUA
rnacentral:rRNA from 1 species